rnacentral:rRNA from 1 species
AUUGAACGCUGGCGGCAGGCCUAACACAUGCAAGUCGAGCGAGCGGCGGACGGGUGAGUAAUGUCUGGGGACCUGCCUGAUAGAGGGGGAUAACUACUGGAAACGGUGGCUAAUACCGCAUACUAUCGGCUGAACCCAGAUGGGAUUAGCUAGUAGGGUGGGUAAAGGCUCACCUAGGCGACGAUCUCUAGCUGGUCUGAGAGGAUGAUCCGCCACACUGGGACUGAGACACGGCCCAGACGCCUACGGGAGGCAGCAGUGGGGAAUAUUGCACAAUGGGCGCAAGCCUGAUGCAGCCAUGCCGCGUGUAUGAAGAAGGCCUUAGGGUUGUAAAGUACUUUCAGCGGGGAGGCGUUACCCGCAGAAGAAGCACCGGCUAACUCCGUGCCAGCAGCCGCGGUAAUUC